rnacentral:rRNA from 1 species
GAUGAACGCUGGCGGCGUGCCUAAUACAUGCAAGUCGAGCGAACGGACGAGAAGCUUGCUUCUCUGAUGUUAGCGGCGGACGGGUGAGUAACACGUGGAUAACCUACCUAUAAGACUGGGAUAACUUCGGGAAACCGGAGCUAAUACCGGAUAAUAUUAUGAACCGCAUGGUUCAAAAGUGAAAGACGGUCCUGCUGUCACUUAUAGAUGGAUCCGCGCUGCAUUAGCUAGUUGGUAAGGUAACGGCUUACCAAGGCAACGAUGCAUAGCCGACCUGAGAGGGUGAUCGGCCACACUGGAACUGAGACACGGUCCAGACUCCUACGGGAGGCAGCAGUAGGGAAUCUUCCGCAAUGGGCGAAAGCCUGACGGAGCAACGCCGCGUGAGUGAUGAAGGUCUUCGGAUCGUAAAACUCUGUUAUUAGGGAAGAACAUAUGUGUAAGUAACUGUGCACAUCUUGACGGUACCUAAUCAGAAAGCCACGGCUAACUACGUG